CCACCCUGGAGUACUCAGGAGUCCCCAGCCUGGGUGCUUCAGGAGUGGCUUUGGCCUAGCCUGUGCCCAGCCUUGGCCCGGUCUGGCUCUACUCUGUGACCAGGAUCACAGGCAGGGAGAGCCUGACAUUCCACCCCC
rnacentral:miRNA from 1 species